CCACCGCCGCACGAGCCGCCGCACCGCCGUAUGCGCAUCAAGACCCCUGCGAGCAUUAGAUCCAAAUCACAAGGCUUAAAAACUGAAGAAAUGGUGGAAGUGAGCAUUCCAGAUCCAUCCACGGUCUGGAUGAAGUCCGUGAUGACUGAGGAGCGCAUCCAGGCACUCGUUGACCAGGGCCUCCUCAGGCCCAAGGUGCUGCUGGACUGGAAGCCGAGUGCCAGGCAAGAUUUCCCCACUGAAGACAAAAUGGAGACAGUGGUCUUCGCAUCCUUCUUCGAGCAUGGGUUCGGGAUCCCAUGUGGAGAUUUCUUCCAGGGUCUUCUGCAUUACUACAAGAUUGAGCUGGUACACUUGAAUCCAAACUCCAUUCUUGACAUUGCAGUUUUUAUCCAUCUGUGUGAGGUGUACUUGGGCAUUCCCUGCCAUUUCGAUCUCUUGAGAUACUUGUAUCAGUUAAAAGUAGUGUCAACCAAGGGCAAGCUGAGGGUAAUUAGGGGAUGCGGAUUUUCUAUGCGGUCGAAGAGAGUCCAGGAAUACUUCAACCUCCAGUUGAAGGAAUCCAAUAAGGGCUAGCACAAGGAGUGGUUCACAGUAGCCAAUCAGUAGCCCGAGCUCCCGCUGCAUACUAGGGGCCUGUUUGGUAUGGCUCUACUCCAGAACUCCAACAACUCCACCAAAAAAUCCAGCCAAACACCUCAACUCCAAAACUCCAUGGAGCAGCCAACUCCACAGAGCUGUUGUGUUGUUUCUAACUAUACUUGUGGAUUCACUAGGACGACAAAUUUGAAUUCUUUUGCCCAGCGUCACUUUCUGAAGGGGCCAAGUAGCAGCGGCCCAAGGUCCACUCGACCGACGAGGCCAACGAGCUGCCUGCCGGCCUUGAGUGGGAGUCUGACUCCUCCAUCGGGUUGGACGAGAGUGUGCCAGAAGAGGUCAGCAGGGCCACAGUUGUUGCACCGGUUGGUCAUCAGACGCGGCAUGCCGUGCAGAAGCAACCCGCCUCCAAGUCGCAAAAGCCAAGCUUCAAGAGAAAGAAGAUGGCCAGCAAGAAGGGUAAGGAGAAGGAGAAGGCUGCCCCGAGCGCAACCUCCGUGGCUAGGUCGGCUAGCAAGGCGGACGAGGAGUCCGACACGCUGAGCCCGCCCAUGAAGAAGAAUAUGUUCGACCUCCUUGAGACGACCGCAGUCGACACGGAGCAUGUCAAGAAGGCGUUGAAGGCAAAGGUUCGCGGGGUGUUUAGCGAUGAUGUGUCUGCGGUACCACCACCAUUGCGCCCCAAGUUUCGAGUAAAGAAGAAGAGCACCAUGACUACCGUGCUGGAUGAUGAGUCCAGCGUGUAGCUGACUGGUUGCUCAACCCAGACCGAGGGGGUGAACGGCUGCACCGUUGAUCAGUCGCCGCCUCUGGAGGUCGGGGUGGAUCAAGAUGCUCACGCCGGUGAAGCUAUACCAACUUUGGUACCGCAACAAGGCGUAGACGGCUCUGGGGCUACGGACACUGCUGUGGACAACUCCAGGGUCAGGCAGGUGUUCGGUGAGGAAGCUAGAGCCGAGCCUCACCUAGAGAUGAUCUGCCAUCGGAGAGGUUCAUCGGGGACGGAGGAGAUGAUGUUGAUGCUGAGGACUUCUCUAGGCUGGACCUUGCUAGGGAUGUGGCGCAGGACAAGAAGGAUCUUGUUAGGCUGUGGCAGUCAUCCUCAGAGAUUUCUAAGCUGCUAUUUAAUCUAGCCGAGCGGGCACAUAAGAGGGCGGACGCGAUCCAGCAAGCCGAGCGCUAUCACCUGGAGGUAGAGCAACUCAAGGCCAACCUCAAGAAGGCCAAAGAGGACAUCAGGCAAAAAGAGCUAGACCACGCCCGGAAGGAAGAGGUUCUUACUUCGCACUUGAGAGAUGCUGAGGUCUGGGAGCAAAGGCUCAAGCGGUACCUCAAAGAGUGCGAGGAAUCAAAUGCGCGCCUCAGCAAGAACAUGAUGUGGUGGUUCAUCGUGAGUAUGCCGUAUCACAGAAGCUGACUUAAGAAGCCAACGCGCACAAGAAAACUUAGUGCUGCUUAGAGGUUGCUGUGCGUAGUCUUCAGCAUGACCAACUAGUAAUUGUAGGGUUGGAGGUGGAGCUGGAGGAUAUUCGUAAGGUUGUUGGCUAUGUGAUGGACAUGGUCCAGUUAGAGAUCGACCCGACAAUGCCAACACCACUGCUCGAUCGCCUCAAGGCCGCACCUGGUCAGCUGAAGGCGCUACUGAAGGACACCACGGUGGAGUGCAUCAAGAAUGUCUUCACACUAUUAGUGACACACUUCCCACAGAUACCCUUGGAGCAUGCUGCAAUAGGAGUCACACCCGACUUCAAUGCGGAUUUGCUUCCAAAACUGACUUACCAGUAUCAUGAUGUAGUGGAGAACAUUGUCGAUGACUUGGACCUAUAAAAUGAAACUCUUUGGUGUAUUAAAUAGUAAGACAGGACAUGUGAUGGAAUUGACUUAAUCGUAUGCAAGGAAAAAGAAGCUCCAUGCCUCUCUUGGUGUAUACAACAGGACAACGUGUAGUUGAGGCCUGUAGCCACUAAGCGUCUAGCCUUGCCUGACUAGCGUCCUGCUGAGACCGGAUCUCAAGCUUGUAUGAGGGGUGAACACAAGAUUGUCUAGGUUUUGCGAGCUAGAAUGCCGACCACACGAGUUAGUCGUAUUGCCUUGAGAGGGGGAGGAGAAGGAUACGAGACUCGGAGAUCAGCACCUGGGGGAAGCCUCCAAGAUUGAGAGCGAGUGGUCUAUCGAACAGGUCGGACAGCCCUGAGCAUCAGGAACAGCUCGGACAUAGGAAUAGUAAGGUAGUAGGUAGGCAAAGAACCUCAGAUGUUUUAUUUAUUCAAUAAAAAGGGAAAAUAGAGUACAUAGCUUUUAGA